GUGGAUGACGCAGCUAUACAUGCAGUCGUACGCUUCUUUUUCCACCGGAGCUUGCUCCACCGGAAAAAGAAGAGUGGCGAACGGGUGAGUAACACGUGGGUAACCUGCCCAUCAGAAGGGGAUAACACUUGGAAACAGGUGCUAAUACCGUAUAACAAUCGAAACCGCAUGGUUUUGAUUUGAAAGGCGCUUUCGGGUGUCGCUGAUGGAUGGACCCGCGGUGCAUUAGCUAGUUGGUGAGGUAACGGCUCACCAAGGCCACGAUGCAUAGCCGACCUGAGAGGGUGAUCGGCCACAUUGGGACUGAGACACGGCCCAAACUCCUACGGGAGGCAGCAGUAGGGAAUCUUCGGCAAUGGACGAAAGUCUGACCGAGCAACGCCGCGUGAGUGAAGAAGGUUUUCGGAUCGUAAAACUCUGUUGUUAGAGAAGAACAAGGAUGAGAGUAACUGUUCAUCCCUUGACGGUAUCUAACCAGAAAGCCACGGCUAACUACGUGCCAGCAGCCGCGGUAAUACGUAGGUGGCAAGCGUUGUCCGGAUUUAUUGGGCGUAAAGCGAGCGCAGGCGGUUUCUUAAGUCUGAUGUGAAAGCCCCCGGCUCAACCGGGGAGGGUCAUUGGAAACUGGGAGACUUGAGUGCAGAAGAGGAGGAGACUUGAGUGCAGAAGAGGAGAGUGGAAUUUCCAUGUGUAGCGGUGAAAUGCGUAGAUAUAUGGAGGAACACCAGUGGCGAAGGCGGCUCUCUGGUCUGUAACUGACGCUGAGGCUCGAAAGCGUGGGGAGCAAACAGGAUUAGAUACCCUGGUAGUCCACGCCGUAAACGAUGAGUGCUAAGUGUUGGAGGGUUUCCGCCCUUCAGUGCUGCAGCUAACGCAUUAAGCACUCCGCCUGGGGAGUACGACCGCAAGGUUGAAACUCAAAGGAAUUGACGGGGGCCCGCACAAGCGGUGGAGCAUGUGGUUUAAUUCGAAGCAACGCGAAGAACCUUACCAGGUCUUGACAUCCUUUGACCACUCUAGAGAUAGAGCUUCCCCUUCGGGGGCAAAGUGACAGGUGGUGCAUGGUUGUCGUCAGCUCGUGUCGUGAGAUGUUGGGUUAAGUCCCGCAACGAGCGCAACCCUUAUUGUUAGUUGCCAUCAUUCAGUUGGGCACUCUAGCAAGACUGCCGGUGACAAACCGGAGGAAGGUGGGGAUGACGUCAAAUCAUCAUGCCCCUUAUGACCUGGGCUACACACGUGCUACAAUGGGAAGUACAACGAGUCGCGAAGUCGCGAGGCUAAGCUAAUCUCUUAAAGCUUCUCUCAGUUCGGAUUGUAGGCUGCAACUCGCCUACAUGAAGCCGGAAUCGCUAGUAAUCGCGGAUCAGCACGCCGCGGUGAAUACGUUCCCGGGCCUUGUACACACCGCCCGUCACACCACGAGAGUUUGUAACACCCGAAGUCGGUGAGGUAACCUUUUGGAGCCAGCCGCCUAAGGUGGGAUAGAUGAUUGGGGUGAAGUCGAUCAAGAGCUCGCG
rnacentral:rRNA from 1 species